CGGAGCAUGGUGCUCCACUCUUGCUCAACAGUUCUAACGUUACAAGCCACAAGUUACAAGUUUGUCCUGUUUUCCUGAGCUUCAAGGUUGUUUUUGAAGGCAUCGUUGUUAGUUGAUUACCUGGCGAACGGCACAGUUACUGUUCAGAUGUCUGCUUAUGGAAAAAUAAACAUGUGGAAGACAGUAA